CAAAGAGAGAAGAGGAGAGGGGGAAAGCAGGUGGCAGAAAGAGGUCGGAAAAGUGUGACCACACCCAUUUAUGGCUCUGAUCCUACUACCACCGGCUCUGGUCAUCCUCCAAAAGUAGCAUAUAGCAUCCAGCACAUUGCCCCUAGAAUGUGGCUCUUGACAGAGAGAGAAAGAGAAAGAAAAGGAGGGGGAUGAUGAUGGUGGUGGUGGUUUCAGGGAGAAGAAGGCUACAAAAGGCUACUAACCACAAUGGCUCUGCUCUGCUUUCAGGCCUGGAGGCUGUAAUGCUUCUGAGUACCAGCUGCUGGAGACCACAGGAGGGGAGAAUGCUCUUGUGCUCGCAUCCUGCUUGUGGGUUUCGCAUAGGCAUCUGUUGGCCACUGUGAGGACAGGAUGCUGGACUAGGUGGGCCUUUGGCCUGACCCAGCAGGCUACUUCUUAUGCUCUUAUGUAAAGUUCUUACAGACCAGGACUAAGCCUUGGUGAGUUGACCAUUUAGGUGUCCUAAGAGACCUCUUCACUCCUAGGAAGUGCAAUGGUCCUUUGCCCUUAUGGGAUAAUAUAGACCAGGCAUAGGCCAACUCAGGCCAACUCCCAUCAUCCCUAGCUAACAGGGCCAGUGGUCGGGAGUGAUGGGAAUUGUAGUCUCAAAACAUCUGGAGGGCUGACUUUGCCUAUGCCUGAUAUAGACCCUCUAAGUGUACUUAUUUUCCUGUGUUAGUCCCAGAUUUACAGAAGGUGUCCUGGUUUUUUAUUUGAUACCGAUAUGUCCCAUUUUUCCUUAGCACUUCCCUAUUUUCAUCAGAAAAUAGAGGGUAUGGAAUAGGGUGUCCCUAUCUUCAUUGGAGAAAUGCUGAAGGGUAUGAUAAUAACCCCCACACCAGGAGUAGCAGAAAAACUCCCCCUGCUUUUAAUAUCAACAGCAGGAGAUGGAUAGUAUAGGCAACAGCUUCUCUUGUCCAUCAACAUUUAAUGCAAGGGGAAAGGUGCCGAAGUGCUCUGUGGCCCUCAGGCCAGAGGAAUUGACACUCUACUUUGUGGCAUUGAGCAGAAAUUGAUAAGCUGUCCCUGGCCAUAAUAUUAAUGAUAAAAGUGUCGAUGCUAACAGCCAGGCUGCUUGCUUCGCCUGCCUCUGUUUGUAUGUCAUUAAGUGCACACGAGGCAUUUGAAAUGGAAACAAAUUAGAAGGUCAUAUUCCCCACCCACCCCAGGGGCCCACAGCUCCCUAGGUGUAGAUUAGGUUUCCUGGGCCCAGAUCAGAAUAUAAGAACGUAAGAAGUGCCUUGGUGGAUCAGAAUAAAGGCCUAUCUAGACCAGCAUCAUGGAAUCACGGAAUUGUGGACUUGGAAGUGAUGCCAAGGGACCUCUGGUCCAAUCUGUGCAAUAAUCACAGCUAAGGAAUCUCUGAGAGAGAGGGCUCUGCAACCUGUGCUCAAAAUCUUCCAAUGAAGGAGAGUCCACCACCUUGUUUUCAUAGUGCUCAAUGAGAUGCUUCAGUGGGAAGCCCACAAGCAGGAUUUGAGUGCGACAGUAACUCUCCCCACUUGUAAUUUCCCGUAACUGGUAUUCAGAAGCAUGCUGCCUCCAACUGGGGAGGUAGAACAUUGGCAUUGUGGCUGGUAGUCAUUGGUAGCCAUCUCCUCCAUGAAUUGGUUGAAUCCUCUUUUAAAGCCAUCCAAGGUGGUGACCAUCACUGCCUCCUUUGGGAGUGAGCUCCAUAGCUUAACUAUGUGCUGCUUGAAGAAGGACACAGGUGGCGCUGUGGUCUAAACCACUGACCCUCUUGGGCUUGCCGAUCAGAAGGUUGGCGAUUCGAAUCCCCGUGACAGAGUGAGUUCCCGUUGCUCUGCCCCAGCUCCUGCCAACCUAACAGUUUGAAAGCAGGCCAGCGUGAGUAGAUAAAUAGGUACCACGGUGGUGGGAAGGUAAAUGGUGUUUCCAUGCGCUCCGGUUUCUGUCAUAGUAUCCCAUUGCGCCAGAAGCAGUCUAGUCAUGCUGGCCACAUGACCCAGAAAGCUGUCUGUGGACAAACGCCAGCUCCCUUGGCCUGAAAGCGAGAUGCGCGCCACAACCCCAUAGUCGCCUUUGUCAGGACUUAACUGUCCAGGGAUUAUUUACCUUUACCUUUUACCUGCUUGAAGAAGGAUUGUCUUCCCUAUGUCCUGAAUCUUCCAACAUUCAGCUUCAUUGGAUGUCCACAAGUUCCAGUGUUAUGAGAGAGGGGGGAAAACUUUCCUCUUUCCACUCUCUCCAUGCUUUGCAUGCCUUUAUACAGGCCUAUCAUGCCACCUUUAAUGCACAAGUGGUCAGAGUUGAUGUCUUUUGGGAAUCCAACAACAACAUAGAAUCAUAGAAUCUUAGAACUGUAGUGUUUGAAGGGACCUUAAGAGUCAUCUAGUCCAACCCCCUGCAAUGCAGGAAUCUCAGCUAAAGCAUCCAUGACAGAUGGCGUUUAAACCUUUGCUUGAAAACCUACAAGGAAGAGCCACAGCUUCCCCACCUCUGGGCUUGAUGAACCAAUGUUCCUCUCACUUUACAUGGAAUAACUAAAGUGCCUGUGGCUUUUGAUGCUUAGAAAAUAUGUCUAAGUGGGGAGAUGUAGAAUUGAAUAAAGUUAUGCAUGGACCAUAGAACACAGAGACAUAUAUUUCACCCUCACUAAUGCAUUAGCAAUUGGGAUCCCCUAAUGAAACUGAUGGACAGUAGAUUCAGGGCAGCCAAAAAGAAGGACUUUGUCACUCAGUGCAUAAUUAUUAAUGAACGCAGUUCAUUGGCACGAUGGCCACUGGCAUAAAUGGAUUUAAAAUUCACGGAGGACAGAUCUACCAGUGGACGUCAGGCAGGAGAGCUAACAUGGAAUGUCAUGAUGUUGUACCCUUAAAUAUCUGUUUCUGGGCCUGCUUCUGGGGUUUCCAAAGGGAUCUGGCUGGGCACUGUUGGGGCCAGGAUCCUUGGACAGAUGUUGUUUGUGGCAGAUUCUACAGGGCUUUUAAACAUUGCAGCAUAAAGCAGUUGCCUGUCUGUUUGUCCAUCCAUCCAACCAACCAACCAACCAACCAACCAACCAACCAACCAACCAGCUAACCAUUCUUCCACCUGCAUGCCUAGAUGUUCACAUAAGAGCCUCCUGGAUCAGGACAGUGGCCCAUCUAGUCCAGCAUUCACAGUGGCCAACCAGAUGCCUCUUCUGGAAAACCUUUAACAGGACCCGAGCACAAGACCCCUCUCCCCGUCCUGUGGUUUCCAUCUGCCUGCCUGCCUGCCUGCCUAGCUAGCUGCUAUGGAAAGCCUUUUUCACCUCAUCCUAUGCUGCUCUUCCACACAGGGAGAAUAUUUCUCUUGCCUGAAAAUCUCAUCUCCCAGAUCAAAGAGUGCAGGGCCCUUCCUCAUGCAGCCUAUCUAAUGCCACUGGGUGUCACUAGUGGCCCACAGCCCAGUGGAAGACCCCACACCUCUUGGCUAUUUUACUGUGAUGAAGAGCUAAGUAGGGGACCUCUUAGCUCUCAGCGGUGCACAUGCCACACCUGUCUGUGACCCAGCAGGCUGCCUACUGUAGAUGGAGCUCCGUGGAAGGAUAGCACUUCCAAGAAGGCACACGGCCAAGUAGCCUUUGCCGAGCAACACGUGGGGAACAGUGUCUCCGAAGGCUGUGUUAGCAGUUCAUUCCAGAACAGCUGGAGAACUGAGAAACAAAGAAAGCAGAUCAUAUCAAUGCUCCAUUAGGGAGCCCCUGUGGUGCUCCAUCCUGGAUUUGUAGAACGUGGUGUGUUUCUCUGUAAGAUACCUCUGUGAAAUCGACUCUGUGAAGGUUCGGCUGCCUGGCUUUGGAAUUGCUCUCUCUUGGUGGGUCCAGCCCAUCCUGUCUGCGUGCACACAUUAUGCCAUCACAGCUGUCCACUCAGCCCUUGACGCCGGAGUAGAAAGAAGGGCGUGUGCGUCUGUUGCGAUGGCUCUGUAGACCCCUUGCAUCUGCCACAGAUAGAUAACCAAGCAACAGUGGCAUAGCAAGGUCAGGUGGUACCCGGUGCGGAUUAUUUUUUUUUGUCACCCCCCCCCCAGGACUUCCUGCCAAAUUUUGAGUUCCCAAAGUUGUUGAGAGCUUUUUUGGAGGGAUGCCCACAGUUGUUGAACUUUUUGGGGGGGUCCAAAGUUGUUGAGCUUUUUUUGAGGGGAUGCACACAGUUGUUGAGCUCUUUUUAAUAAAGGGCCCAGAGGAUAGGC
rnacentral:lncRNA from 1 species